CGAUAAAGCGGGUGAAAAGCCCGCUCGCCGGAAGACCAAGGGUUCCUGUCCAACGUUAAUCGGGGCAGGGUGAGUCGACCCCUAAGGCGAGGCCGAAAGGCGUAGUCGAUGGGAAACAGGUUAAUAUUCCUGUACUUGGUGUUACUGCGAAGGGGGGACGGAGAAGGCUAUGUUGGCCGGGCGACGGUUGUCCCGGUUUAAGCGUGUAGGCUGGUUUUCCAGGCAAAUCCGGAAAACCAAGGCUGAGGCGUGAUGACGAGGCACUACGGUGCUGAAGCGACAAAUGCCCUGCUUCCAGGAAAAGCCUCUAAGCAUCAGGUAACAUCAAAUCGUACCCCAAACCGACACAGGUGGUCAGGUAGAGAAUACCAAGGCGCUUGAGAGAACUCGGGUGAAGGAACUAGGCAAAAUGGUGCCGUAACUUCGGGAGAAGGCACGCUGAUAUGUAGGUGAAGCGACUUGCUCGUGGAGCUGAAAUCAGUCGAAGAUACCAGCUGGCUGCAACUGUUUAUUAAAAACACAGCACUGUGCAAACACGAAAGUGGACGUAUACGGUGUGACGCCUGCCCGGUGCCGGAAGGUUAAUUGAUGGGGUUAGCGGCAACGCGAAGCUCUUGAUCGAAGCCCCGGUAAACGGCGGCCGUAACUAUAACGGUCCUAAGGUAGCGAAAUUCCUUGUCGGGUAAGUUCCGACCUGCACGAAUGGCGUAAUGAUGGCCAGGCUGUCUCCACCCGAGACUCAGUGAAAUUGAACUCGCUGUGAAGAUGCAGUGUACCCGCGGCAAGACGGAAAGACCCCGUGAACCUUUACUAUAGCUUGACACUGAACAUUGAGCCUUGAUGUGUAGGAUAGGUGGGAGGCUUUGAAGUGUGGACGCCAGUCUGCAUGGAGCCGACCUUGAAAUACCACCCUUUAAUGUUUGAUGUUCUAACGUUGGCCCGUAAUCCGGGUUGCGGACAGUGUCUGGUGGGUAGUUUGACUGGGGCGGUCUCCUCCUAAAGAGUAACGGAGGAGCACGAAGGUUGGCUAAUCCUGGUCGGACAUCAGGAGGUUAGUGCAAUGGCAUAAGCCAGCUUGACUGCGAGCGUGACGGCGCGAGCAGGUGCGAAAGCAGGUCAUAGUGAUCCGGUGGUUCUGAAUGGAAGGGCCAUCGCUCAACGGAUAAAAGGUACUCCGGGGAUAACAGGCUGAUACCGCCCAAGAGUUCAUAUCGACGGCGGUGUUUGGCACCUCGAUGUCGGCUCAUCACAUCCUGGGGCUGAAGUAGGUCCCAAGGGUAUGGCUGUUCGCCAUUUAAAGUGGUACGCGAGCUGGGUUUAGAACGUCGUGAGACAGUUCGGUCCCUAUCUGCCGUGGGCGCUGGAGAACUGAGGGGGGCUGCUCCUAGUACGAGAGGACCGGAGUGGACGCAUCACUGGUGUUCGGGUUGUCAUGCCAAUGGCACUGCCCGGUAGCUAAAUGCGGAAGAGAUAAGUGCUGAAAGCAUCUAAGCACGAAACUUGCCCCGAGAUGAGUUCUCCCUGAGACUUAGAGUCUCCUGAAGGAACGUUGAAGACGACGACGUUGAUAGGCCGGGUGUGUAAGCGCAGCGAUGCGUUGAGCUAACCGGUACUAAUGAACCGUGAGGCUUAACCUUACAACGCCGAAG
rnacentral:rRNA from 1 species